rnacentral:siRNA from 1 species
AAGCGCCGGAUAAGCUGAAUGUUG